CCUACUUUUGCUGGAAAUUCCAGGUCCUCUCAUCCGCCGCGGGGGCAACGUAUUUUUUCAGCGUGAGUCGUCAUCAGUCUCUCUCUCUUUCUCUCUUCAGAGUCCAAAUUUUUCAGCAGAGCGAAGCGCGAGGAAUAAGACAAGGGGAAGAGACCAUAUGGCGUCAAUUCCAGAGAGGAGGGGGCGAAUUGGCUUAAAGAAUUCGACCAGCGAUCGCUGCGGAGGCAGAAGCGACACGGAGAAAAGUCCAAGAGGGCCGAGAAAUAUGAGGAAUCAUAGUUUAUUUUGAUGGUGAAGGACGCGGAAAGAGCUCUUGCGGCAGAGACAGAUGGCGGAGACAAUCUCUAGCCGGUCCGUCGAGGGAUUCCUUUUGUUAUAUGCACUGAGAUCGUCGUCCCUCUAAGUGGGUUCUUAUAAAUGUGGCUGUUUUCUGCUUGCAUUUGCGUGUCCGAGCACUCGUGGAAGCUGCUGUCAUUUGCUGCUGCUAGAUGAUUCGUUUUGAUCCAGAGACUAAUAUGGAUGAGCAGAGUGAUGGCCCUGCUCCUAAGUGGACUAAAGGCACUCAAAUUUUGAUCACUUUCAUCACCAUGUUUUUAGUAUGCUCUCCCAUCUUAUCUGUCGAGUGUACUGCAAUCAGUGUAUGGCCAAAACCAAGAGCAUUUUCAUGGCCAACUCAACAAGCGACCUUACUUUCUCCUUCUUUUACCAUCGAAUCUCCCCAUCACCAAUACCUCUCAACUUCUGUUAACCGCUACCUUAAUCUCAUUCUCUCCGAGCAUUUCCAUCCUCUUUCCAAUCAGCAUGUCAACAUGACAAAUGGCCCCACUUUGCAAACUCUGGUUGUAUUGGUCAAUGAUCUAGCUGCUCCUCUCAGCCAUGGCGUGAAUGAAUCCUACAGCCUUAGCAUCCCCACCUCAGGUGACAAAGCUAGCCUGAUUGCCGAGACAGUAUGGGGUGCUAUGAGGGGUCUUGAGACAUUCUCCCAGCUUGUGUGGGGUAAGCCCUCGUGGGUGGCUGUUGGAGUGGAGGUGCAGGAUUGGCCAAUCUUUUCUUAUAGAGGGAUAAUGCUGGAUACCUCGAGAAACUACUAUAAAGUUGAAGACAUCCUAAGGACCAUUGGAGCAAUGAGUGCCAACAAGCUCAAUGUUUUUCAUUGGCACAUCACUGACUCGCAUUCAUUCCCUUUGCUGUUGCCUUUAGAACCUGAUCUAGCAGCUAAGGGAGCCUAUGGGUCUGACAUGCAAUACUCACCAGCUGAUGUCAGGCGAAUCGUUGAAUUUGGCCUGGAACAUGGGGUUCGUGUAUUGCCAGAAUUGGACAUGCCUGGUCAUACAGGAUCGUGGGCUGAAGCUUAUCCAGAAAUUGUAUCCUGUGCAAACAUGUUUUGGUGGCCAGAAGGAAGUGAAUGGGCAGAUCGGCUAGCAUCAGAACCUGGAACGGGUCAUCUUAACCCAUUGAACCCAAAGACCUAUCAAGUUCUCAAGAAUGUCAUUCGUGAUGUGGUGACAUUAUUCCCAGAUCAAUUCUACCAUGCUGGAGCUGAUGAGAUCAUACCUGGCUGUUGGAAAGCCGAUCCAACAAUUCAGGCAUUCCUGUCGAGUGGUGGCACUUUGAGUCAGCUACUUGAGACAUUUGUGAACUCCACCUUACCUUAUAUUUUGUCUCUUAAUAGGACUGCUGUCUACUGGGAAGAUGUCUUGUUAGAUCCGAUUAUCAAGGUGGAUAAAUCACUUCUUCCCCCAGAGCACACCAUCUUGCAGACAUGGAAUAAUGGUCCCAAUAACACAAAAAAGAUCGUCUCAUCUGGAUACCGAGCGAUUGUGUCAUCAUCAGAUUUCUACUACUUGGACUGUGGGCAUGGUGACUUUCUUGGAAAUGAUAGUCAAUAUGACCAGCCGCCAGGAAGUAAUCAGGGGAAUGGUGGUUCAUGGUGUGGACCUUUCAAAACAUGGCAAACUAUAUACAAUUAUGAUAUAACAUACGGUUUAACUGAGGAGGAAGCAACACUGGUGCUUGGUGGAGAGGUUGCACUCUGGUCAGAGCAGGCGGACCCAACUGUUCUAGAUGCACGUAUCUGGCCUAGAGCUUCAGCAGUGGCAGAAAGCAUGUGGUCAGGGAACCGGGACAAGAAUGGGAUGAAGAGAUACGCUGAAGCAACUGAUCGUUUGAAUGAAUGGAGGAGUAGAAUGGUCAGCAGAGGGAUUGGUGCAGAGCCCAUUCAGCCACUUUGGUGCAUAAGGAACCCAGGGAUGUGCGAUGCGUUUCAUCCAUUUGUUUAGUUGCUAUUGUGACCACAGUAAAAUGAAAAUGUGCAGAGCUCGACCUCAAGGAGGAUGGUUGACAUGAGCCCUAGGAUAAUUCACUUGUUGAGUGGUGUGGAGCUUUUGCUCUCUUUCCUUAGAGGGCAUGGGUUUAAAACCAGCUGCCAGCAAUCAGGUCGCUUUUUCAGAAAUUAACAAGAUGUUGAACUGGUUCACCAGUUUGCUCCUCAACCAGGGUCUAAUCCUGGUUCUGAGGAAACUCGCUGUUGAAGAAAACCCCUCAACCCGAUUCAUCCCGUUGAACAGCUAAGUCCACCUGCAUAUCUUGUGCUACAUGAUGCUAUUUCUUCGGUUAAAUGAGUAAAGGCUGGGGUCAAUGCCCUUUGUUUCUUAACAGUUACAAUGGUGCUGGAGGAGUUGCAACGGAUGAAAUGAGCCUGAUUUUGUCAGAUGAUUGCAUGGUCUAUCACCUCGAUGUUAACCAGAUGAUAAUAGUUUGAAAAUGCGCCUGGGACUUGUACAUAUAUGUUUUCCUCCAUGCGAAGGCCUACGGCUACCGACAACCUAUCUGAGGAUACAGAUGCAUGACUGUGGGUUUGGAUUGAGAUCCGUCUUUUUAGUUCAUACAUGAAAGGAGACGAAUUUUUCUGCGUUAACAGUUGCAAGGUCAGACUUGUACAAGGGGGGAAUUGGACUGGAUUGAUAAUUAGUCACGUUUCGAGGAGUGAACUCGACUUUCCUUUGGCCCUAAUCUUGGGCUGCAGUCGCCACAGAGGCAAUGCAUGCUGCUUGGUUAUCACACUUUGCUUUGCACAAGAGGAUGCUGAUUUUGGUGUUUCUUCAAUAUUGGAUGGUCGGGCUCCGCUGAGAUCUGACGCUGCCAAAUCUUAGCUUGAUGUCUGUGACGUAUGUUGCGUCUGCUUUCUUGUGCUGAGUGAAAUUUUUUGGUAUUGGUUCUUCUUUCCCAUUUCUCAAGAGUUGGUUUGUUUUGCUGGUGAUGUGCAUUGCUAGUUCUUCAAUGCAUGAUACAGCUUUGUCACUGCAUUUAUCAAAGGUUAUUGUGGAUGAAAUUCUUCCUC